UACAGAGGUCUCAAGCGUUGUUCGGAGUCACUGGGCGUAAAGGGUGCGUAGGCCGCACGGUAAGUCAGAGGUGAAAUCCCGGAGCUCAACUCCGGAAUGGCCUCCGAUACUGCCGUGCUCGAGGACUGGAGAGGAGUCUGGAAUUCACAGUGGAGCAGUGAAAUGCGUGGAUAUUGUGAGGAACACUAGUGGCGAAGGCGAGACUCUGGACAGUUCCUGACGCUGAGGCACGAAGGCCAGGGGAGCAAACGGG
rnacentral:rRNA from 1 species